rnacentral:rRNA from 1 species
GAUGAACGCUGGCGGCGUGCCUAAUACAUGCAAGUCGAGCGAACGGACGCGAAGCUUGCUUCUUUGAUGUUAGCGGCGGACGGGUGAGUAACACGUGGAUAACCCACCUAUAUGACGGGGAUAUUUUCGGGAAUCCGGAGCUAAUACCGGAUAAUAUUCUGAACCGCGGGGUUCAAAAGUGAAAGACGGUCUUGCUGUCACUUCUAGAGGGUUCCGAGCUGCAUGAGCUGGUUGGGAAGGUAACGGCUUACCAAGGCUACGAGGCAUAGCCGACGGGAGAGGCGGGUCGGCCACGCUGGAGCUUGUACGCGGUCCUGGCGCCUACGGGACGCAGCAGUAGGCUAUCGUCGGCAAUGGUCGAAAGCCUGACGGAGCAACGCCGCGUGAGUGAUGACAGUCCUCGGAUCGUAAUGCUCUGUUAUUAGUGAUGAACAGAUGUGUAAGUAGCUGUGCACAUCUUGACGGUACCUGAUCAGAAAGCCACGGCUAACUACGUG